GAGUUUCACUGAUCUACUCGACACCGUGCCACCUAUUGCGGGAUGGGUUUAACGGAUGAAGGUGUUUAAUAUGUGAAAGUUUAAGGUCAAUGACCAUAAAGUGGUGUCACUGGUUCAAUUCACUCACCGGCGAUCCUCGCGCCCCAGCGGCACCGAUCGGUCCAGGAUCUCCCUGAGGACACACAUCACAGACGACGCUGAAGUCAGCAGCAGAACUGCACUCCACAUGGACCAUAGCAACAUGGCUCUCAAGCAGGGCGGUUCACCUCAGUCUGACCAAGCCGGCAUGGAAAUCUAAGGCAGAGGAGAGAUCCAAAACAAACCAGUGAGAA